rnacentral:rRNA from 1 species
UGGGGAAUUUUGGACAAUGGGGGAAACCCUGAUCCAGCCAUCCCGCGUGUGCGAUGAAGGCCUUCGGGUUGUAAAGCACUUUUGGCAGGAAAGAAACGUCAUGGGUUAAUACCCCGUGAAACUGACGGUACCUGCAGAAUAAGCACCGGCUAACUACGUGCCAGCAGCCGCGGUAAUACGUAGGGUGCAAGCGUUAAUCGGAAUUACUGGGCGUAAAGCGUGCGCAGGCGGUUCGGAAAGAAAGAUGUGAAGUCCCAGAGCUCAACUUUGGAACUGCAUUUUUAACUACCGGGCUAGAGUGUGUCAGAGGGAGGUGGAAUUCCGCGUGUAGCAGUGAAAUGCGUAGAUAUGCGGAGGAACACCGAUGGCGAAGGCAGCCUCCUGGGAUAACACUGACGCUCAUGCACGAAAGCGUGGGGAGCAAACAGG